UUGCCCUAGUAACGGCGAGUGAAGCGGCAACAGCUCAAAUUUGAAAUCUGGCGUCUUUGGCGUCCGAGUUGUAAUUUGCAGAGGGCGCUUUGGCAUUGGCAGCGGUCCAAGUUCCUUGGAACAGGACGUCACAGAGGGUGAGAAUCCCGUACGUGGUCGCUAGCCUUUACCGUGUAAAGCCCCUUCGACGAGUCGAGUUGUUUGGGAAUGCAGCUCUAAAUGGGAGGUAAAUUUCUUCUAAAGCUAAAUACUGGCCAGAGACCGAUAGCGCACAAGUAGAGUGAUCGAAAGAUGAAAAGCACUUUGGAAAGAGAGUUAAAAAGCACGUGAAAUUGUUGAAAGGGAAGCGCUUGCAGCCAGACUUGCCUGUAGUUGCUCAUCCGGGUUUUUACCCGGUGCACUCUUCUAUAGGCAGGCCAGCAUCAGUUUGGGCGGUUGGAUAAAGGUCUCUGUCAUGUACCUCCUUUCGGGGAGAUCUUAUAGGGGAGACGACAUGCAACCAGCCUGGACUGAGGUCCGCGCAUCUGCUAGGAUGCUGGCGUAAUGGCUGUAAGCGGCCCGUCUUGAAACACGGACCAAGGAGUCUAACAUCUAUGCGAGUGUUUGGGUGUCAAGCCCGAACGCGUAAUGAAAGUGAACGGAGGUGGGAACCUUUCGGGGUGCACCAUCGACCGAUCCUGAUGUCUUCGGAUGGAUUUGAGUAAGAGCAUAGCUGUUGGGACCCGAAAGAUGGUGAACUAUGCUUGAAUAGGGUGAAGCCAGAGGAAACUCUGGUGGAGGCUCGCAGCGGUUCUGACGUGCAAAUCGAUCGUCAAAUUUGGGCAUAGGGGCGAAA
rnacentral:rRNA from 1 species